rnacentral:lncRNA from 1 species
UGAAAUUGAAAAUAUGUAUGGUAUGUACUAUUCGGAUCAACCAAAUGGAUAUAUGGAGAAUUAAUAGACCAUGGAUCAACAGAAUCAUUUAUACAUUACAUCAUAAUAUAAUCAUACAUUAUAUAUUUUUCUUCUUCUGGCAAUGCUGUAC